rnacentral:rRNA from 1 species
AGCGAACAUUGGCGGUAGGCUUAACACAUGCAAGUCGAGCGAGGCGUAAUAGUCGAGCGGCGAACGGGUGCGUAAUACAUGGGGAUCUACCUCGAAGUGGGGGAUAACGUCCAGAAAUGGACGCUAAUACCGCAUAAUCCAUAUUGGGAAGGCGUUGCAGCGCUUUGAGAUGAGCCCAUGGCUGAUUAGCUUGUUGGUGAGGUAACGGCUCACCAAGGCGACGAUCAGUAGCUGGUCUGAGAGGAUGACCAGCCACACUGGAACUGAGACACGGUCCAGACUCCUACGGGAGGCAGCAGUGGGGAAUCUUGCGCAAUGGGGGCAACCCUGACGCAGCCAUACCGCGUGAGUGAUGAAGGUCUUCGGAUUGUAAAGCUCUUUCGGCGGGGACGACGAUGACGGUACCCGCAAAAGAAGUCACGGCUAACUUCGUGCCAGCCGCCGCCGUAA